UUUUUUUUCACAUUUGUAUAUUAGUUGUGUUCAUUUUGUUUACAGACCAAUGACUUAAAAAAAAAAAGGACAGAAAAAAUGAAAUGAUAACAAUACAUACAUAGAACAAAAGCUGGAUUUUUGGGAGUGACCAAGAAGCUUUCAAUGUUUACACAAGAAAAUACAUGAACUAUAAUGACUACAUUUAAGCACAACAAAUGAUAUCAGAAAAGUCUUUUGUCAGGUUAAUAAAGAUAUUGCACAGCCGUGAUGCAUGUAUUUGACACCACUUAUAUAAUACAUAAUGGAUUUUGUCCCUCAUUGCAGAUCCUUUCAAGAACAAAGUUGGACUAAAAUGGAAUUUUUUUUCUCUAGGCAUGUCUCUGAACAAAUAUAGAGAGAAGGAACAUGCUGGAUAAAUAAUAGCAAUCUCUCCACAAGUCUGGCAUCAGGAUAAAAUGUACAA